rnacentral:tRNA from 1 species
GACUGGGUGGCUUAGUUAGUUAAGCGUCUGACUUCAGCUCAGGUCAUGAUUUCACAGUUUGUGUGUUCGAGUCCCACAUCAGGCU